GAAUAUAAAAUAACACAAUCCUAUUGGUUGGUGAACCCAAGAAUAAGUCAUACCGAUAUAUACGGUUUUAGAUACUUACCUUAUCUCCUAAGAUCUAGGAUCUUUACUUUUGUAAAUAUACACAACUUUAUGGUCCAUAGAAUAUAACUCAAACAUUCAGACAUUCACAAUUUGUCAUGGUAUCAGAGCAACCGAUCUGAGAAUCCUAAAUUUUUAUUUUUCCAAAAGAUUCUCGGCUAGAAAUGUCUUCUCCUCUGUUUUUCAUAUCGAAAACAGAACAAAUUUUCUUUCAUUAAUUUAGAAAGCCUCUCGGCCUCUUUUAAUACUCAGCCGCAUCAUGUCUCUCGCGGUGGAAGAGCCUAAGAGGAAGACCAUCUCUCCAUAUGAUCUAACUUCAGGUGAUAACCCUGGAGCAGUGAUUUCUCACCCUUUGCUUAACGGGAACAAUUACGAAGAAUGGGCUAUCAACCUCAGAAUGGCGAUCAGCUCACGUAAAAAGUUUGGAUUCCUUGACGGCAGCAUACCAAAGCCAGCUGCUGACUCAACUUACCUUGAAAACUGGGCGGCGAACAAUCACCUCCUCGUCGGAUGGAUUAGACAGACCAUCGAGCCGAAACUUCGAUCAACAAUUUCGACUCGAGAGGUCGCAAAAGAUUUAUGGCAUAUCAUCAAAAAGCGUUAGUGGUGCUCGUCCUCAGCAACUCCGUAAUUCACUUGCCUCUUACAAACAGAAUGUAUCUAUGGUUGAUGAGUACUUCAGAAGAUUGACAAAGAUAUGGGAUGGUAUUGCUGAAUGUUUAAACACCAAAAGGUGUGAAUGUGGAAAGUGCACCUGUGAUCUCAAUGUAGCACACGAGAAGGAGACUGAGAUACUUCGGGUAGAUGACUUUCUGGCGGGUCUUGAUGAUUCCGUUCAUGGGGUCGUUCGUUCCCAACUCUGUGCAAUUACUCUUCUUCAUGACCUCGACAGUAUUUAUCAAACAGUUUUGAAGAAUAGAAACCGAAACAUGUUAAAAUAUAUAAAAUUUUAAAACGUUAAAUUAAAUAUAUAUAAACUGCACAUUUAUAUAAAAAAAAUAUUAAUAAACAAAAUAUGUCAAGUAUGCAUCAAACACAUGUCCACCAAAUUAAGUUUUUACUAUUUAUCCGAAGAAAUCAGAUCAAAAAAUACAAUACUUUAGUUUUCACUCCAAUAUCAAAUAAAUCAAAUAUAUUUGAUAAAUAAAAACACGAAAACUGAAAAACAAAAUACACAUGUAAACAGCACAAAUAUCAAAUAACCAGCACAAAACGCGGGUACACCACUAGUACUGUAAAUACUACAGUACAUCUGAUACUACAUGUUGUAAACUGGCAAAGGCAAAUUACCAAGACUCAUUACAUACAACACAAACAUCAAAUUUGCUGACAUUGAUACAAAAGCGCUGGGGCGUGCACAGUUUUGUAACUUGUUGUCCAGGUUGGGCAUUCAUGAUCCUCAUGCUCCAACGUGAUGGGGAGUAUUACGAUAAGCAUCGUAUAUUUAGGAUUACAUUAUACUUUGUGAUAAAUACAACUAGUUAGAGAUAAUUUUUAUCGGUUUGUUAGGCCGACCUAUGUGUUGUAUUUAUACUAUGCUUUGUACACGUUAAUAAAACAAGUCUUAAAGUUAAGAUCAAUAUUCAGUUCUACAUUUAGUUUCGCCCAAACCAAAUCUCACUCAGUCAAAUAGCGUUGAUCAGUAACCAGAUUAUAAAUUGCAUUGUCAUUCUAUAAAAUGAGGAGCACAAAAAGACAAUAAAAUAAUAUUUUACCUUUUUGAUGGUUGUGUAUAAAUCUAGAUAUUGAAAUCAUUUUUAAAAACAGGGGAAAAAACAUACUAACGUUCAUGGUGUAGAAGAGAAGUGAUUGUUGCAGAAGAAAGACACAAAGUUGACCAUCUUCCAAGAAAAAUAGCUUGGAAAAAACGAUAAUUAACAAUUUUGUCUAACCAUGGUCACCUGAAAUUCUUGAUCGCUUCACCUGAAACAACAACCAUGGUGAAGUUUUCUUAAGAAAGUAGGGAAACAUAUGAAGUUUUCUCUAUGCACAAUAGAAUACAAUGUCCAAGUGUGUGUGUGUAAGAACAUACUUCUUUCUGGUGUGAGUCUAUUUGUAUACUUACAUUUGUCCAUGAAUUGAAUCGCCUUCAUAAAUUGGAAAACCUACAUGGGAACAUAUUCAUAAUAUGGAUUUGUCACUAAGAUCUGGAAAUGCAGUGAGCAGUUUUGAGUGAGUGACUUCAGUUGUAACAUAUCUUCAGCUUGCACUUUAGGUGAAUUCAUAAAGAGAUACCAAUGCAUUUACCUGGGUUAACAAAAGUUUCAGCUUCAGACUUGACUUGAAUCUCAAAACUGCUCUCAUAUUUGGUUGAAUCCAAAUUAGUCUUCUCAAAAGUCACAAGUACAUCAUUCAUUUACUGUUAUUCUCAGUCUCAACAUCACAAAUGUCUCAUCUCCCAAAUCCAUUGAAGACAACUGCACAUUGUCAUGACCAUUCAAACAGAUUUCAGUUUGAUAUAUGAUCAAGCAAAAAAAUAAUUCAAUCAAACCGAUCGAUACACCACUAACAACUAUGCAAUUACAACUGUGUUGGGGUUAAAAUUAGUCACGACGAAAUCAAUGGCUGAAAGCUCCCGAUAAAUCUUCAUUGUCGAUGCAACCAUGGUUGAACCAGAUGAUUAUGCGACAAAGGAUAAGCCUGGAUGGAUGAAUGGAAAGCUUGAAGAUGAACCAUAGGCUGAAAUGGAGCAUAAUGAGCUUAUUUUUGCUGUGAAAAUCAUGUCAAAAAAAGCUGGAAAAGAUGUGAUCAGACUCAUAGAUGACUUAGGCCUCUUUCUCAGCCUAAAAGAAGAUUAAUAUCCAAGUUGAGGAUCCAUUAUCUCUUUAUGAAUGGACAGCCACGAAAUUCAAGUCAAGAAGUCAGCCAAAAUAAUUAUUAUUGAGUUUUCAUGACAGUUUUAGUUUUAAUUAAGUUUUUCUCAUUUUUCUACAGUUUUAGGACUUUUAGAUUUCCUUCUUCUCUAUUUAAACUCUCUUUUGUUUCUGAAAAACUCAUUCACCUUUUUUUAACAAAAUUCUCUCUAAAUCUGUGAAUUCCUUGUUCAUCUUUGAACAUUGAUUGCUAAAGAGUUCAUUCUCUAUUUGCAAAACUUGUCUUUGAUCACAACAAAGUUCAUUCUCUUGAUCUUAGACUCAUCUACACAAGAUCUGAUCAAUCCAUAGAUCAUUUCUGAAGUUCAUCUCAUCAAAACCAUCACCCACGAUCUGAAUCAAACCAUAUCUCUCUCAAAUCAUCAGAUCAUCCUUCAAAAGAAUCAUGGACAAUUGAAUCUCCUUAUCAGGGAUUCAUCAAGUGGUAUCAGAGCAGCUCUGAAGGCUCUUGAUCUAGGUUUGAUUCUAAAACUUCUCUCUUUGUUUUUGGGAAUCUGUUUUUUUUUCUCUGCAAUUUUCUCAGAAAUCUCGUAUCUUUCUAUCCGUAUAAUAUGCAAGAGGGCCAACCAAAUUUUUUUUAAAAAAAGAAAGAAAAGUUGAAGAGAGAUCCAAUUUGGCUGAAGAGAAAUCCAUCCCUGGUGGUAAUGCCUCUUGCAAACAAAAAUCUUGCAAUCUGUCUAUCUCUUUCUUCUGUUUUGGGGUUGGGGUUUGUUCUCUGAAGUUUGAUCUUUGUUUGUUGCUGAGCUAUUGGAUUCACAGAGAAAAUUCACAGAAAAUCAGAGAGAAACACUUGAGAGUUGUGAGGGUUCGGCUAUCUGUUAUUGUGCUAAUUUUUCUUGUUGAGAUUGUAACAGGAAAUCAUGGCUGGAGAUGUCAGUAAAAGAAAGGAGGCACCAACUGUGAAAUUAAAUAAAUUACGGAUGGAAGAAAUGUUGUCUGAUAUCAUGAGAAGAAUGAAAAAGUCUGAUCUUUUACAAAAGAAACAUGCUGAUGAUUUCUUUGAUAAUGUUUCUAAGGUUAAGAAGGAAGCUAAGACCAAAAGGAAUAGCGAGGAUGUAUCCAGUGCUACUAGACGUCCUUAGAGAAACCCACAGCCUGACCAAGAAAGGUCACGACCAGGGUGGCAGCUGGACACGCCUAUUAGGAGGAGCAGAGCACAACCUAAAAAUCCAGAGAAUAAAUAAAACCUGUCCAUAGUCUUGAUGAGCAGGAGUUGCUGCGGGGAGCUCUUAAGCGGAUGAGUAGUGCCCAAAACAUUACUGAUAUGUGUAACCAGAUAUUCAAGGAUUUAGAGAAGGACAAAAGACGGAGCACACGACCUUCCUCAAAGGCUACUGACCCAAGGAAUUGUAGCAAUCAAGAACAGAUUAUCCAAGGGUUGAAAACAGAGCCGUCUAAGGUAAUAAAAGAAGCUGAGACAGAAAAUGAGUUUUCUCUUUUCUCUUCUCAAUCUGAACCUGUUGUAAAUAAAACCUGUGAUGAACUAACUUGUUUUGAACCGGUGCAUCCGAGUAGCCUUGUUUCAGUGUCUCAGGUCUCAGAAGAAAAUUCAGCAGAAGAAGCACAAAAGAGUUCACCACCAGAAGAAGUGUUGGAGCAGCCCAACAUUGAAGCAGAAACAGAUGCUAAGUCACUCUCUUUGAACUCUCAAGGGCACUGUAAGGAUCUUGAUAUGGUUAAUUCUCCACCUGAAAUGUUUGUUAUGGUUAGUUCCAGUGAUGUAAAACGUUUUGGUCUUGAAAAUGUGAAAGAAUUUUGUGUUUCAAACUCUGUUUUUGAUAACAUGAUUUAUUCUUUUAAGAAACUUGAACCAAAUAAAUUUUCUGAAAAAAAAAAGGUUUUUCCUUUGAUAGUGACAUCAAUCCUGGUCUUGUUUUGAGUCUUGAUCAAUUUAUGAAACAUAUCAAAAGCUUUGAUCAUCCUGUAAAGUCAGUGAAUCUUGUUUUGUAACAGUCUUUUUUCUGUUCUAGAAAAUCAUUUGAUUCAUUUGUCUUCUAAGAAAAUAGCUUUGUUUUGAAUUGUUCAAAACAUAAAAUAGCCACUGGUGAUUUGUUUUCUUCCUCACAUGUCUGGAAAGAGUUUAUGGUUAGGAAUUUUCAGAAACCAAAAUCACAUAGAGAUGAAACCGAUUUUAUUUGUGAUUUUGGUUUUAAACUUGGUAUCUUGUGUUCUGAAUCUGAUAAACCUUGGCAUGUUUUGAGAUCAUUGCUUGAGAAUUGUGUUGUUUUAAGCUUUGGUGAUAUUCUGGUUUACAAUCAUUUCUUUGAUAAGCAAGUUGAGCCUUGGUUAAGAGAUUCUCGGUUUGAACUUGAUCUUUUGUGUUCUGAAUAUAAGGAACUUGUGGCUGUUCUGAAAUUGUUCCUUAAAAACCAUGCUAUCUCAUGCCUUGAUACCAUUAUGGUGUACAAUACUUACUUUGAUAUACAUCAUCAAGGUCUGAAACAUUUGUUGUAUGAUAUAGGAAAAGAAAGUUUGGUUUUUGAUCUGAACAAGGGCAUGUGUUGCAUUGAUAAUUCUGGAUAUCUAGUCUUUGCUUUGAGUGUCCAGGAACAACAGGAUCAGUCUCAAAGGAGCAAAAGCAAACACCAUCCUUACCAUCCAGAGAUUUGGAGAUGGAAGUACUUGAGGAAAAUGACUUCAAAACUCAAAGGAAGUUUAUGUCCAAAACCUUACUUUAAUGUUGUUUCCAUGCUUAUUUUCUUGAUCAUUUGUCUCACUUUUUACUUGUUUCCUUUUGAUAUAGGAGAUACAUAUUUGAGGACAAAUAUUUUCAAAGGAGGAGGGGAUGAUGCAACCAUGGUUGAGCUAGAUGAUUAUGCGACAAAGGAUAAGCCUGGAUGGAUGAAUAGAAAGCUUGAAGAUGAACCAUAGGCUGGAAUGGAGCAUAAUGAGCUUAUUUUUUUCUGUGAAAAUCAUGUCAAAAAAAGCUGGAAAAGAUGUGAUCAGACGCAUGGAUGACUUAGGCCUCUUUCUCAGCCUAAAAGAAGAUCAAUAUCCAAGUUGAGGAUCCAUUAUCUCUUUCUGAAUGGACAGCCACGAAAUUCAAGUCAAGAAGUCAGCCAAAAUAAUUAUUAUUGAGUUUUCAAGACAGUUUUAGUUUUAAUUAAGUUUUUCUCAUUUUUCUACAGUUUUAGGACUUUUUGAUUAUCUUCUUCUCUAUUUAAACUCUCUUUUGUUUCUGAAAAACUCAUUCACCUUUUUUUAACAAAAUUCUCUCUAAA